rnacentral:tRNA from 1 species
UAAUUCAGAGCUUUAAAGCGUCUUGUUUACACUAAGAAGUUAUUUGUAUUAUUCAAAUUGAAUUAA